AAUCAAUUAAAAUGAAGAUAAAUUGAAUUAUAGAGAAUUUUAAUUAAAACUCAAGUAAAUCCCAUUCGUGUGUGUAUUUUGCGAACUGCUCCGAAAUUUUGUUCUCAAAAUGUCCGCUAAAUAUCCAAAAGCUACUAGAAACAUCGCAAUAGAAUUUUCCACCACCAACAAAAGGCAAAGCAGCACAAUAGCAACAUCAGCAACAACAACAACAACGAUAACAAAGAAACCACCAACAAGCGCGCGCACACAGAAAGGGGCGAAUAAAUGAGUGUAGCCAGCAACAACCCCGACACUGCCACGAAAAUUGAGCGCCACCUCACCACCCAAGCAACUAUGUUAAUAGCUGGUUAGUGUGGCUAGUGGGUCAGAAUAAUCCGGCAGAGCAGGGGCGCUAGCCAACUAGCGAGCGAAUAGCCAUAACAUUAGCAAAUGGCUAAGCAGCCAGCUUUAGUAGCGGGUAGUAAGUGAACGACAGUCGAAUUUUGGCCGAGCAAACGCCGCCACGUACAGAACGAGCUGUUGGUGGUAAAACGGUCGAGCCUGAAUACAUAUGUAGAGUGAAGAUUUCAUUGAGAAUUACAAAAAACACAACAAAUACAUGCAAACUUGAAGUAAUAAAAGACAAAUACUCACGAAAUUAAUUGAACGAAUACAAAUUAGAGAACUGAUAAAUUUCCUAAAUUCCAGUAAAGUGGCAACAAUAUUUGCAGCAAAAGGGAAAGUCAACGAAAAUUCAAACUAAUUAAAGCAAAACAAAGUGAAAAA